AGCGAACGCUGGCGGCAGGCUUAACACAUGCAAGUCGAGCGGGCACCUUUCGGGGUGUCCGCGGCGGACGGGUGAGUAACGCGUGGGAACGUGCCCUCUGGUUCGGUAUAACUCAGGGAAACUUGAGCUAAUACCGGAUACGCCCUUUUGGGGAGAGGCUUGCUGCCGGAGGAUCGGCCCGCGUCUGAUUAGCUAGUUGGUUAGGUCACGGCUCACCAAGGCGACGGUCAGUAGCUGGUCUGAGAGGAUGAUCAGCCACACUGGGACUGGGACACGGCCCAGACUCCUACGGGAGGCAGCAGUGGGGAAUAUUGGACAAUGGGCGCAAGGCUGAUGCAGCCAUGACGCGUGAGUGAUGAAGGCCUUAGGGUUGUAAAGCUAUUUUAUCCGGGACGAUAAUGACGGUACCGGAGGAAUAAGCCCCGGCUAACUUCGUG
rnacentral:rRNA from 1 species